GACUCCUCCUGUUCUGUGUAUGGCACUGGUAGAAUUCACUGUGACGGCACACUAUCAGUGAAUUACCAUAGGGCCAUAAACAGAGUAGAGAAAGAACCACAU
rnacentral:pre_miRNA from 8 species